AUGAAAACUUUGACCAACAGAAAGGUACUUGGAUUGAAAGUGAGCUGUACUUCAUGCAUCACUACACUAUUGAUAUUAGACAAUGGAUCUAUUUUUGCAUGUACAAUUUUGCUGACAUGUUGCUACUGCAACUGCAACUUUAUUGUGCAUGAUUCAUCUGCAUGUUAUUCCAAAAAAAUGUGGAAAAAAAAAAAAACAGUUUUCAGAGGUGGCAACCAACAACAACUCUUUAGCAACUUUUGCACAAGAAAAUCACUCACGUUCCAGUAGAAAACAUGAAAUUCCAUUUGGUGUCACAUGUGGCACAUAAAUUACACUUCACCCUUAAGAAUAUGCAAAUGAUUCAUCAAAAACACACAGAUGUGUUGCCUUGAACUGAAGCCAGAACUGAGAGACAAUCUGUCUCACUUCUAAUAGCGCUGCAAUUGUGUGAAUCCACUCAAGAACCGAAGAGUGUGGUAACCUGAUUGAAGAGCUCUUAGGAACAUUACAGGACACUCUUUAGGUCAAACAAAGAGCUUGCCACGUAUGACGCAUUACAGUGUCUCAUACAAGGGUAAUUUUAAAGUCCAAAUUUAUCUGACUUGGAUUUAAUCAACAGUAUUUAAAUGGAACCGUAGGGUGAGGUGAAAAUCCAAUUCAUUUUCAGGUUUUUAGAUAUGAUAUAAAGCUUUUAAGACAGAAUUUUCAUUUCAGCCUGUUAUUUUUAUAACACCUUUUUUCCUCAAAAUACCAGUGGAGAAAAUGAAUGAGAAAAAUACAUGUCCAAAAUAGGGGGGGAAGCGGGAAGUCGCUGUUAUGUUCUGUUGUAAAAAAGAGUAUCAGUACUAAAUAGUGGUAGUGCUGUGGAUCCAAUACAGGGGAUGACAUGAAGAAAUGACGUGAGCUUAUAUCUUACAUGUUCACCAUCUGACUUAAUAACAAUAGAAAUUAAAACUUGAGGGCUUGAACACUGCCAUGCAACUGCUCCCAUUGGAAAACAUCCACAAACACAUCUACUAUAAACAUGCCAAAAAUCUGUGCACAUAUUUAAUAGAAGAAUAAUCAUCUGAACACUUUCUGAACAUAAACACUGUAUGGAGAAAUUCCAUAUUUCCUGGGGGAUGUCCUAUUAAACAAUUUUAUACUUUACUAAACAAUAUCCACAAUGCACCAUGAAGUGUUGCAAAUCAAAAAUGUAAUCUAUUAAAGUGCACACAUACGAAAAUACACUAUGUUCCCUAACCUGAGAUUGAAACUAAAAUGGCACUAGUGGGCAGCGUUAAUGUCC
ensembl:lncRNA